GGAAAAAUAAUUCCACCUGACCAGAAAAAUCAAAAAGAAGGUAGCAAUCUGCAUAGUAGUUAGACAACAUAAACAUCGACUGCUGCAACAAAUUAUAAUGAACAAUAAAUUGACCCACACACACACAGAGAUGGAUGGACAGACAAUGUUUAAAGAUCAGUAAGUUAAUCUAGCUUAAUAGCAUCUAACUGUCAAACACAGAGCAGAUCUUUUCCCAUCUGAUACAAUGGUUGCAAGUACGUUGCAUAGGAUGCCUCUUUCAAGUUCAUGUAGGCUAACUUCAUUCGUUUUCCACAGCCGUUGUCAAUUCUAUGCAAAACAUACUUAUCAUCCAACAGCAUGUGUAAUUAAUUAGAGAUUCCACAUGAGAAAAUUUUUCUAACAGUGCCAACAAAUUGUAAUAUUUUUCAUUAAAGCCUAUGUUCAUGUGAUGCAAGUAAUUUAUAAUCUUCUAAGGUAAAAUUAUGAAUACAGAAAAGGAUUCCUUAUCUUCAAAAUGUUACAGCUUUUGAGAUGAUAAUAUCAAUACCCUUUUAAAACAUUUCUUUACAACAGUACUUCAGGACUUCAAUGCACAAGUACAAUAACAAUGCAUGUAAGCAAGGAAAGUGUCUGAUGCUGUGACGAAACUCCCAAAUAUUCUUCCUGACUAACUUAAUCUUUUCCAAAAGAGGCCAAAUAGUGCUGCAAAACCCAAUCAUAGCUGAGAGAAUCAAGUCUAAACUCAAUGUUUGCAUCAACUUUACAGCCUUUGUGUCUAAACCAAUGUUUUAUUCACUUUUAAAAAAUGUUAGCAUACAUAAUUUAGAUUAUUUUACAUACUACAAAGAUUCCCAUGAAUAUGAUAAUUGUAUAAUUUGGAUUGACAAUUAAUCACCCACAUUAUUUAGAACUAUAAUAUAAGUCAAUUGUGCCAUUUUCAUUCAAUGAGGACAAUAUGAAGUCUCUUCACAAUAGCCUUCUACUUGUUUCAAGAGACUAAAAAGACAUUGGAGCAAAACCCUACAGCUCUCCACAUAUGCUCCAAGACUAUGAAUACAAUACCAUCCAAACAGAAUGAAAGUACAAACAAGAAUGGAUCAAAAGUAUACAUAAAACAAGGGGGGUCUAAUAUGCCAACCAUUCAACAGAGUUUCCAAUUUAGAUUGCAACCAGCCAAUAUUCUUCUCUAAAAAAUCCAUGCAAUAAACAAGAUCUAGUUAAACAUGAGAAAAAACACUUAAAGAAACUGCAGAAUGAUAAAACUAUCCACUACAUCUACGAAGCAUGUUGAUUAGAACAUUAAUUAAUUAAAAUUUGAAUUAACUUCAUAUUUCCAAAAUAAGAGCAUAUGGAACUACCAAACAACUCCCAGUUAUCAUCAGCCCUAGGGAUGAUCCUCCCCCUCUUCCCCUUCCCUUCCCCCUCCCCAUUUCCGUGCUUUCAUGGUAUUCGAGGCUUCUUGGUCAUCCAACUGACAUAAGGCCAUCAGGAUAGGGCUAAAGGAGUUGACAGGACUAUAAACUAUACUGUCACUUGUGAAAGGCCGCUUAACCCAAUCUUUUAGAUUUUGGAAGUAUCAACCAGAUGGUUAAUUUUUGCCCUCCAGGGAAAGGUAAUAAGAUCAGAUUGCAACCAUCUGAUAUGAUGGGAUAAUAAUUAAGGAACCAGUAGUUCAUAAGUCCAGAGAUUUGUCAUAACAUUCAAGUACGUAGCAAAUAAUGGGACCGGGCCAGGUCUUGCCAGGUAGCCACAAGUAUGGUGAAUAGUAACAGAAUAUGAAGCUGUUUACAAAGAAAGAAAAUGAAAAGGGAGACUCACCUCCAUUAGGAUCAAGAGAAUGCUCCAUUAUUACAUAGUUUAAUGAGAUACUCAACAUUCACAGCACACUCAUAUCUAAAUUCAUAUAAAGGAAACUUCCCAUUGACUGAAUUUGACUACAAGCAAACACAACAAUAGUAAAAAAAGAUAUGGCAACCCAUAAUUUGCAUUUUGCAGGAUCCAAAUUGAUGACUUCAACCUUCCUGAAUAGCAUUAAAGGAUCGACUUUUUCAAUCAUCGAUUAUUUUCCAAUAAGAAAAAGUUGAGCUUAGAGGAAUUGAGUUGAAGUUACCUUCGGAUGAGGCUGAGGAAGUUGGAACUGAGACAUGCCUUUGCAAUAAGUGGUGUGGACCUAUCACUACUUACCCAAACACCAUCUAACUUUGCCUACCCAAGAAGUUGGGAUUAGAAUAAGUAGGAAAGCAGAAGAAAAGAGACGAUUCUGCGAUGACUAAUUUUUGCCUUUUAAGGGGUUUUGCUUUCUGGGGAUUUAGAAAUCUUCAGAUGCUAGGGCCAUUGCUUAUUUAAAAAUACUAAGAGUCUACAAUAGCCCUGCAUUGAUCUUCCGGCAAACUAACUCUCAAACUCUUUCUUUCCAAGUAGCAGUCCAGGCCGACAUUGUUCCGGCGGACAAAGUUCAAUGUUUGAGGCGCAAAUAAUCGAA
rnacentral:misc_RNA from 1 species